rnacentral:lncRNA from 1 species
ACCUGAUAUUGCUCUCCGGGAUGUUGAUUGAUUUCUCUGCACCAAGUUUAGUGCCUCUUGGACUUGCAUGAGUGAUUGAUACAAUAAUCUCUGAAGCACUUGUUCCUUGGAUUACACCCCAAAUCUUCCCAUCAUCAAAAGCAAUGGGUUCGCCUGGUUUGACUGAAUCAAAAAGAAAACUAGAUGGACAAGUUACCCUAUAAGCAUCAACUGUAGGUUGAGUCAGCUCAUCCUGUUCGAUUGAGCUAUCUAGUGAUAUGAUCAGCAAGUCUCCAACUCUUAAUCUGACAAACUGCUCAACGGCGGGAACGUCCACCACUUCUCCAACAGAGGACUUGUGUUUCUGUCCCUUAAUGUACAGUCCAGUUCCUGACUGAACAUAAGCAGUCCUGUUGCACUCGGCCAUGAAUGCAGUACCAGCAAAGACAGGAAAUCUAUUACAAAUCUUCAGUGUCCUUUUUUUUCCUCUUGCAUCACGGAAUCUCACAGUAUCACCCAACUGAAGCUUAUUGAGAAAUUUUUGGCCAUCUAUAGAUAGAAUUGCAUCAGGGGAUAUAUGCCCAGCAGGGGGAUUUGCUCCUUUGUGACAUAACCAAACUUGAGCAGGUAGCAUUAUAUCUCCACAAGCAUUCUUCUUAGGAGAGAUUUUAAUCACACAUGGACCAGCCUUCAUGUUGCCUGUCCGUAGCUUUGGUCCAGCUAAGUCCAUGAGAAUUCGACAUGGCUUCUCCAGCAUCUGAGAGCUUCUUCUCACCCUUCUGAUUAUUUCACUCCAGAUGCUCGGGUUUCCAUGUGCGCAAUUAAUCCUAAUAAUGGUGGCCCCACUCUUGAGUAUAUCAGUUAUAAGUGUUUCAUUCUCAGUCACUUCUUGCCCAACUGUUACCAUGAUAUGAGCAGUUCUUUCAUCUGCAAGUGGGCCCAAUAAUAUCUUCAUAUUGGAGGAUGCUUUCUUCCUCAUUGUAUCUAUGAUAAAUUCCCCUUUCUUUUGUUUGUCCAAACUUUUUUUAUUGGAAAUUUCUCCACAAGCAUUCUCUUUGAUGUUCAGAGGGUAAGAUUUCAGGUUUUCCAACAUCUGGAUGCCAGCAGUGAGAUUUGCAAUGACACAUGGAUUGAUGGUUUCCAAAUUCAGAAGACCUACAGAUGAAAGAUCUUCUUUGAGCUGCUCAACAUCAAGGCAUUUCAAUGCCAGGUAAUGGAUUAAGUUUGUAGCACUCGCCAUGUAAUUUCUGCUAAGAUAGAAACAUGGCAUAUUAGAAAGUGCUCCCAAAGUGAAAUGCUAGAAAGGUACAAGAAAAACUAAGCUUGGCUUUGGUUCUGAGAAACACAAAAAACAUUUUCAACUCAUCCCAGCAUUUCUGCAAUCAAAUGAUCUUGAACUAUUUUUUUAUUUUUUUUUGAUAGGAAUGAUCUUGAACUGUUAUUAACAGUAACUUUUCUAAGAAAAGAUAUCAAUGAGUUUUCAACUACCCAAACUAAGGAUACCGAAUUUUCUAGAAGAUACUAAAGAAAAUACCUGGCUAACAGCAAAGGAAAUAUUCAUUUCUGAAGACGAUUCAUAAACCAUAGACUAGUGAUCACUUUCAUAAAUAAUAUUCAAACUGGCAAACACUAAUUCAGUUUAUUAAAAUGAAAAAUAAAUUAAGAGUGCAUAGAUUACUACAAAUAGAUGUGAAUAGAAUGGUGAGUUUGAAGCUGCAAAAUGUAGACAACAAGAUGGACAAUCAACCAAAUAAUCCGAAUCAAUGUCACAUAGCAUAUAAUUAGAUCAUAUGAUGGAUAAGUAGGCAUCAAUUUUAAUACAUGAUGCAAAAAUUUCAUUUAACAUAUUAUAUAAUUUCCAUUUUGGAUGGUUCAUGAUGUCAUUAACUGGGGGAAGAAGCCAGGAUAAGUAGUUCACAUAUCCCAGAAAAAAAGAUUUACCAAGAUAGAAAAAUGAAUUUGUUCAAUAAGAACAGUACAAAAAAGAAUAUCGGUAUAAAAUUUAAAUUGUUAAACUGUUAGAACGAAAUUAAAUAUACCUGUGGCAUAAUUUAAUUCGGGAAGCAUUCCAUUGUUCCAUUGCCAAUAUAUGCAAGUGAACAGCCUUUAGUUUGUCAAGAAGGUUCCCUUGGUUUCCCAGCUGCACAGCACUUUGAGAGAGAUCUGCCUCUGAGAGCGUGAUGGAAGCAACUUCCACAUCUGGAUCCCUAGAACCAUCAUUAUAUUCCGG